AUUGAACGCUGGCGGCAUGCCUUACACAUGCAAGUCGAACGGUAACGGGCCUUCGGGUGCCGACGAGUGGCGAACGGGUGAGUAAUACAUCGGAACGUGCCCGAUCGUGGGGGGUAACGAGGCGAAAGCUUUGCUAAUACCGCAUACGAUCUACGGAUGAACGCAGGGGACCGCAAGGCCUUGCGCGGACGGAGCGGCCGAUGGCAGAUUAGGUAGUUGGUGGGAUAAAAGCUUACCAAGCCGACGAUCUGUAGCUGGUCUGAGAGGAUGAUCAGCCACACUGGGACUGAGACACGGCCCAGACUCCUACGGGAGGCAGCAGUGGGGAAUUUUGGACAAUGGGCGCAAGCCUGAUCCAGCCAUGCCGCGUGCAGGAUGAAGGCCUUCGGGUUGUAAACUGCUUUUGUACGGAACGAAAAGCCUUCUUUUAAUACAGGAGGGUCAUGACGGUACCGUAAGAAUAAGCACCGGCUAACUACGUG
rnacentral:rRNA from 1 species